rnacentral:rRNA from 1 species
AUUGAACGCUGGCGGCAGGCCUAACACAUGCAAGUCGAGCGAGCGGCGGAGGGGGGAGUAAUGUAUGGGGACUGCCCGUUAGAGGGGGAUAAAUACUGGAAAAGGGAGCUAAAACCGCAUACUAUCGGAUAAAGCCGAUGGGAUUAGCUAGUUGGUGAGGUAAUGGCUCACCUCGGCGACGAUCCCUAGCUGGUCUGAGAGGAUGAUCAGCCACACUGGGACUGAGACACGGCCCAGACUCCUACGGAGGCAGCAGUGGGGAAUAUUGCACAAUGGGCGCAAGCCUGAUGCAGCCAUGCCGCGUGUAUGAAGAAGGCCCUCGGGUUGUAAAGUACUUUCAGCCGGGAGGCGUUACCGACAGAAGAAGCACCGGCUAACUCCGUGCCAGCCGCCGCGGUAAUAC